rnacentral:rRNA from 1 species
CCUACGGGUGGCAGCAGUGAGGAAUAUUGGUCAAUGGGCGCAAGCCUGAACCAGCCAAGUAGCGUGCAGGAUGACGGCCCUAUGGGUUGUAAACUUCUUUUAUAUGGGAAUAACGUGCCUUAUGUGUACUGCUUUGCAUGUACCUUAUGAAUAAGGAUCGGCUAAUUCCGUGCCAGCAGCCGCGGUAAUACGGAGGGUCCGGGCGUUAUCCGGAUUUAUUGGGUUUAAAGGGAGCGUAGGCCGGAUGUUAAGUGAGUUGUGAAAUGUUGGGGCUCAACCCGAGCCUUGCAGUGGAAACUGGCGUGCUUGAGUCCGGGGAAGGCAGGCGGAAUUCGUGGUGUAGCGGUGAAAUGCUUAGAUAUGACGAAGAACCCCGAUUGCGAAGGCAGCUUGCUGCAGCGGAACUGACGCUGAUGCUCGAAAGCGCGGGUAUCAAACAGGAUUAGAUACCCCUGUAGUC